UCCUGGCACCGGGCAGCUCAA
rnacentral:misc_RNA from 1 species